rnacentral:rRNA from 1 species
UGGGGAAUAUUGCACAAUGGGCGAAAGCCUGAUGCAGCAACGCCGCGUGAGGGACGACGGCCUUCGGGUUGUAAACCUCUUUAGCAAGGAAGAAGCGAAAGUGACGGUACUUGCAGAAAAAGCGCCGGCUAACUACGUGCCAGCAGCCGCGGUAAUACGUAGGGCGCAAGCGUUAUCCGGAAUUAUUGGGCGUAAAGAGCUCGUAGGCGGUUUGUCGCGUCUGCUGUGAAAACCCGAGGCUCAACCUCGGGCCUGCAGUGGGGUACGGGCAGACUAGAGUGCGGUAGGGGAGAUUGGAACUCCUGGUGUAGCGGUGGAAUGCGCAGAUAUCAGGAAGAACACCGAUGGCGAAGGCAGAUCUCUGGGCCGUAACUGACGCUGAGGAGCGAAAGGGUGGGGAGCAAACAGGCUUAGAUACCCUGGUAGUCCACCCGUAAACGUUGGGAACUAGUUGUGGGUCCAUUCCACGGAUUCCGUGACGCAGCUAACGCAUUAAGUUCCCCGCCUGGGGAGUACGGCCGCAAGGCUAAACU